rnacentral:rRNA from 1 species
CGUAGGGUGCGAGCGUUAAUCGGAAUUACUGGGCGUAAAGCGUGCGCAGGCGGUUUUGUAAGACAGAUGUGAAAUCCCCGGGCUCAACCUGGGACCUGCAUUUGUGACUGCAAGGCUAGAGUACGGUAGAGGGGGAUGGAAUUCCGCGUGUAGCAGUGAAAUGCGUAGAUAUGCGGAGGAACACCGAUGGCGAAGGCAAUCCCCUGGACCUGUACUGACGCUCAUGCACGAAAGCGUGGGGAGCAAACAGGAUUAGAUACCCUGGUAGUCCACGCCCCUAAACGAUGUCAACUGGUUGUUGGGUCUUUACUGACUCAGUACGAAGCUAACGCGUGAAGUUGACCGCCUGGGGAGUACGGCCGCAAGGUUG